AUUAUUAUAUUUUCAUGAUAUACACUAUCUAGUAAUGAUAGCUCCUUCUUUUGCUCUUAUAAUUAAAAGGUUUCUUGGCUAAAUGAUAUAUUUAACUGUAUGGAUAACUUUUAGAAAUUUACUCUUUGGUUCCUUAUUCCAUUACAAAUAAAGCAUGCUGAAUUUUUUUUAUUAGUGCAUUAUAGUUAUACAUAAUGUUGGGGUUUAUUUGACAUAAUCAUACAAGCAUGAAUGUAAUUUGCUCCAUUUUAGUGGUUCUUCCCCUUUUUCCUCACCUCCCACCUCCCCAUUCUCCCUCCUCUCCUGGUCUUCUUCUAUUUAUUUAUAGUUUUAAACUGCUGGUUUAUAGAUAAACAUAAUGGUGAAAUUCACUGUGAUAUAUUCAUGUGUGUACAGAGCAGUUUUGAUGGGAUAAUAAAUAUUAUAGAUAAGGGUGGGGGAAAUGGUCAUUCUUUUAAUGAUGAUUUUUGUCAUUGGUAAAUGGGGUGUAUAAUUGAGUCUUUUAUGUACUUGUGUAUAUUUUAGUUUCUCAUAAAUCCCACAUAUUUCUUUUAAGAAACAUGUUCACAUGUGAAAUACAACAUUCAUGUGAAUCUGUAUGAAACUUUGGUAGUGCCAGGCUUGGUGGCCCUGAGUCUGUUACAACAAUCUGUAAUCCCAGUGGCUCAGGAGUCUGAGGCAGGAACAUCCUGAGUUCCACCCAACCUCAGCAACUUAUCAAGGUCCUAAGCAAGUCAGUAAGAUCCUGUGUCUAAAUAAAAUUCAAAAAAGGGCUGGGGAUAUGGCUCAGGGGUUAAGUGGCCCUGAGUUGAACCCCUGGUACAAAAAAAAAAAAAAAAAAAGUCUUACAUGGUGUAAACUUGUGUGUGUCCGUCCUUACCUGGUCAAAAUGACUUUCCCCCAUGUAGACUUUAUGUCACUGGGUUCUCAUUAUCCCCUCUGAUAUUUUCCUGAUCCCAUGUUUCAGAACUGCUUGAUGCGAGGAUCCCACAGCUGGCCUAAGUUCUCUUGGAGUGUCUCAUGAACAUCAGUACCUGGGUCUUAACCUAUUAGAAAGCUGUCUGAAUUUAGGGGUGUAGUCUCUCAAGAGUAGCUGAGUGUCCUGCAGGUGGGAGGAAUCUCCUGGUGCACCCUUUAUCCAAAAGACACUUUUUCCCUUACCUUGGCUACUGUGUAUACUGCCAAGUGAAGAUGAGUAUGAAGUCUUUUAUUAACAGAGGGAUUCCAGUUUCUUUGGCUGUGUACCCAGUAUUAUUAUCAGUGUAUCAUAUAGUAGUUCUAUAUUUAGUUUUUAAACAGCUUUCAUGCUAUUUAUAAAAAAAAUCUGUACCAAAUUUAUAUUCUAGAAACAGUGUAAAAGGGGUUCUUUCUUCCAUUUCCAUACGAUCAGAGACCUCAUUUGCUUAGGCUGCAGGAGGUCUUACAGUUGACUGGAGCACUAAAUUCUGAUGCAAGCUUGCUAGAAUUCAGGCUGCCCAGUAGCCACUGGAAGAAGGAGCUGUGAACCUCUUCUAGAAAUAAAGAGAAUAAGCAGAGAUGUGUAGGUGGGCAUGGUGGUGCAUGCCUGUAUUCCCAUCACCUGGGGAGGCCAAGGCAGGAGGAUUGCAACAGUUCAAAGCCAGCCUCAGCCACUUAGCAAGGCCCUAAGCAGCUGAACAUGACCUUGUCCCCAAAUAAAAAAUAAUAAAAGGGCCAGGGAUGUGAUUCAGUUGUAAACUUCCUGAGGGUUCAAUCCCUGGUACAAAAUAACAACCACAACACACAAGCAAAACAAGGAUCUGUGCUUUUUAACCAUUUUUCUUCACUCCUGGUGAGGUCUGUAGCCCACUUAAGGGUUGCACACCAAUGUGAAGCCCCUCCUCUGUGAUCUGGGGAGAUACACACAUGCUCAAUUGCCAUUUCUCCCAGGGUUUGGGGGUUUUGGAUGCAGUUCAUUGAAUGAAAUGAGUUAAAGUUGGGACACUCAAAUUUUGCAUGCUCAAAUUUCUUUUCUUUUUUUUAAAAAAAUAUUUUAUUUUUUUAGUUAUAGUUGGACACAACACCUUUAUUUUAUUUAUUUAUUUUUAUGUGGUGCUGAGGAUCGAACCCAGGGCCUCGCACGUGCUAGGUGAGUGCUCUACCGCUGAGCCACAACCCCAGCCCCUCAAAUUUCUUAAAGAAAGAAUUGGCAGGCCUGGUUCCUACUGAGUAGCUGUGUGGUGGGUGGGUGGGCUCAGGAAGUGCUGUACUCCCACUUGGGCUUCCUGUGGUGGACUGUGUUUCCCUGUUAACUCUGGUGCUGGCUACAAAGAAGCUCAGCUGUUAGCAACAGCAAUUUGCAGAAUUUGCUGGCAAAUCUUUUCUAGGAAUAAACUGGGACCCCUGGAGAUUUAACUCUUCCUACUUGUCCCAGGGAAGAAGCCCAGGGAUUAUGCACAGCCAUAGAAAACCAUUAGUUUGUCCUCUGGUCUUGAUACUGGUGUAUUUCUAGUCCCUUCCUCUCUGUGCACCAGAUAAAUUCAGGUCCAACUACAGGCAAUUUAGUUAAAUAUGCUUUAUUUUUGACCCCAAUCAUCUCUACUCAAGGUGACACUAGAUUUGGAGUAUUCUGUCCGAAUUAUAGGCUCAUUGCUUAAGGCAUGAGUUAUGCCCAAGUGUACCUCAACUUUUCCUACUCAUCUGAUGAUGAGUAGUUUUCUCAGUUGUUCAUUGUAUAUACAUCUCUCAACUCAUUUAGGAGUCUGUUUAAGAGGGACUCAAAACAGAAGCAGAUGUUUGGUGUCUCAUGAAGGGAGAGUCAGCAGCCCCCUAGUCUGCUCUGUUUGGAAUAUUAUCCUGCUUAACCUCUGCUUCUUGGGGAGUACUGGACUACAACUCAGGGCCACACCCUUGCUGCACACACUCUACCAGUAGUCUGUGCCUCCAGUUCUAACAUCUACCUUUAGGUUGCGUUGUGUCGUUCAUUCACAUUAAAUACGUUUCUUGAUAUGGUUGGAUGUGUAGAUUCUUCUGUUGCACUUAACAAUACAAAUGAUUUUUAUAUACAUAUGAAUGUACCUGUGGAAUUUUCUGUAUUGUGAUUCUGGGGUCUUUAUUUUUGUAAUAGUAUAGUUCACUCAUAUACAUUAGUGUCAGGAAAUGAUAGCUGCUACUUUUGCAUGAUAAAAUUUUGAUGGGAUAUUAUUCUAGAUUAACUUGGGGAAAUGAUCACCUUGAUAAUGAAGAGUUUUGUCAUCUAUACAUGGGAUGUGUAAUUGAGUCUUUUAUGUUCUUCUGUGUAUUUUAUGUUCUCCUAAAGUUUACACAUUUCUUUUUAAAACAUGCUUUGUGUUAAAUGCAACAUUUGUGUGACACUUAUUGAAAACUGACAUGUAGUAUACUAUUUUAAUAAUUGUAUGUACUAUGACAUAAAUGUGUCUGGCUCCUAGAAACCAUUAUUUCCCACAUUUGUUGUUCCUCUUCCUGAGUGUGCAGGCUCCUUAGGCACACCCCUGGGCCUCAGGUCUUUGGGCAAUAUAGCUGUGUCCUUCUAUGUCAUUAGGGUUCACAUCUGCUGCCAUUUCUAGGAGCCUCUGUUUCUGGUGGGGGAGUAUCAUGUAUCUUUAGUGGCAAAAUAGUUUCCACAGAUAGAUAAUGACAACUUAAACUUCAUCUUUACUUCAUGAGCAUUCAUUUACUCCAUAUAGUCAUCAAUAUUAUUUAAUUUUCUGUGUAUUACGUGUUUUUUUUAUUUUACAUUUCUCUAAUUUCUAAAGAGGUUGAGUCUUCUAUGAUUAUUGAACACUUAGAUGUGUCCUUUAAAAAGUGAUUUUUCAAGGCUCUUGCUUGCUUUUCUCUUGGGGUCUCUCUCUAAACGUUUCAUUGUGUAUUUGAUUAUAUGUGAGAAGAUGAGUUUCUUGACUUUGUGACUUCUCCUUGCACUUUUUAUUGGUAUCAUUUGAUAAAUAGAGUUUUUUAUUGGUAUUGUAUAAUUUAUAAAUUUAAAAAAUGUUGUGUAACUUUGCAGAGAAAUAGUUCUCUUUUAUAUUUGUUGUUAUUUUCCUUCUUCUUUUGUGAUACUGGGGAUUGAAGUCAGGGGUCCUAUCACUGAGUUGCAUCCUCAGCCCUUUGAAAAAUAUUAUUUUGCCUCAGGAUGUUGCUGAGUUGUUGCGGCUGGCCUCACAAUUGUGAUCCUCCUGCCUUAGCCUCCAGAGCAACUGAUAUUGCAGGUGUGCACCACUAUAUGCACCCUAGUCCACCCUUUCUUACACUGACUUUCCAAUGCUUUAUAUUUUCUUUUGAGUUCAGAAUUUAUUGCAUCUGAAAAUCAGUUCUUAUGUGAUAUGGGUGAAGGGUACAAUAGCAUUUUUAUUUUCACAAAGAUGUCCCAUUAUUUCUGCAUUUUUUUUUGGGGGGGGGGAAAUGCCAUUUUUUAUUCCCUUAUCAUUGUCUAAUAGCAAGGGAUGUAUGAAGGGUUUUAUUUUUAGUUCCACAGCCUAAUUAUUUCUUUAACUACAUGGUCUACACUGAACACUGUAACUUUGUAAUAUACAUGUGUGGAAUAAUGGUGUUUUGGUUAAGGAUAGACUUUAUGUACAUUGGUGGUAGCAUAUAGCCUAUGCACAUAGUAGUUCAUACAAUUUAGGGCUCCUCAGCACUCUCUAUGAUGAUGAAAUCAUCUUACAAUACAUCUUCCAGAAUAUAUUCUCAUCAUUAAUUGAAACAUGUUGUAUAUGUACAUAUAUAUAGAAUUAUAUAAUAUAUAGUUAAUGCAAUGUUUAUUUGUCAAAUUUACCAGAGUUCUUUCAAUUUCAAUUGUCUUCUCAAGGAACAACCUUUGACAUUAGUGAUCCCCUGUGUUGUGUGUGUGUGUGUGUGUUUCCAUAUUUUCAAAUUUUGCUUUUUUGGUUAGCAUUUUCUUUGUUUUUAUUUUUAUAAAUUUUGUUUUUUCCAAAUUACUGAGUGCGAUUACUUGCUGAUACAUUCUUCAUCUUUUUAUAGUUAACUGGUUAAAGACUCUAUAUUUUCUUUUUAGCCUCAGCUUUAGAUGCAUUCCAUUUUUUUUACAGUCUUAUGCAAGUUUGAUGGACAUAUGUUAACUUGUAUACAUCAAAGGUUUAUGCUUUUACGUUUAAACAUAUGUACAUGUACACAUCCAUGAAACCAGGUUUUCAAUCAACAAAAUUAUCAUAUUCACUAUUAAAAGUGUCCUCUAGUGCCCAUUUAAAUCCCUCCUUUAUGCUCUUACCCCAAAUUUUAUGUAAUAAAUUAGGUCUUAUUGAGCAAGAAGAGGGCAAACUUCAAAAUGAUAAAGAUCCUUGAAUUACCAUAGAGGGAGCACUUCCUGUCUCUACUGCCUCCAACAAGACACAGAGCAUUGAUGAUCCCCAACAACUCUCCCUGCCCUCUUCCUCUUACCACCCUCCAUUCUACCCAGUGGCUAAUGCUGCUUUCCUUUUUCAUAUAGUUCUAGGUAAGUAUUUGUUAAAGGCAAAGCAAGCAAACGGUAAAAGAGAAGUGUGACUCCCUCUUUACUGGUUCAUAGAAACAGGGGAGGAGAAAGGGGCAACAGUGGGCUGGGCUGCAGCACUGACCCCAGCCCAGCCGAGUGCUCUCUGAUAGGAGGCAAGUGAGGUUAAUCCUAGGAUGAAGGAGAGGCUGGGCAGGACGUGAGACUAUGGCUGCUAGGAGAGGUUGGCAGACUGCAAGCUGUAGGAGUGGGGAAAGGAG
rnacentral:tRNA from 1 species